rnacentral:rRNA from 1 species
AUGUCACUUCGUGAUUUUUGUCGGGUUUGUUUGAUCCCUUUUGAGGGCAGUGUUGAGGAACCACAUCGUGAUGAUGUGGAAGGGUUUAUUGAUACAAUUGUUGUAGGGGAAACGAGGAAAGUUUCUGAUGCAAGAAUCACUAGCAUACAUUUUCCUGUUUUACAUUACUUUGCAAUAUUUGCUAGUAGAUGCUUAAUUGGUUGCGGAAACUGUGGCAACCUUAGUGCCCCUGAUAUUGUUAUUUUCUGCCAUGCCUUAUUCCGUGAUGACACAUUUAGUAUGGGCGCUAUUGUUGCAAAGCGGUUAAAUCUUAACCGUACUAAGGGGCCCUUCCUUGGAGGCAUCUUCACAUCACGCCUUGCAGCACACUUUAACAUACCUAUUAGGCAUUAUGAGAAGGAAGAGAAGUUGUUGCCUCCUGUUUAUCUAGAUUAUAAGAGUAUGGUAGCACAUGAUUUUAUUGUUAAGAAUAAGGAAAAGAUGCUUAAGUACAAGCUGAUAUUUGAUAAAAAUCACCUUGAGACUAUUACUUUGCCUGCUCCUUCCUUGUUUGAUUAA